UUUUAAUUUCAAAUAAUUGGAGAAAAAUAUUAAUUUAAGAUAUUAACAUUCAUGCUAAGAUUGCCACUUCUUUAUAUAUAUAAAAUCAAUUAAUAAUCAAUGCAUUUCUUAAAAUUAGAUAUUCGCACAACUUAUAUUCACAAUUUUUCUAAAUUUUGUCUAAAUCUUUUUUAUUUGUUUUUGCAUUUUUUGUCAAUUGUAUCCCAUCAUUUGGAUUAUCGACUUUACAAUAUUUAAAAGGGAAACCAUAUUGAAUUUUUGUGAAGAUUAGGUAUUUGGUUAUAGUCUGGAUAAUAUCAUGUACUUUCACUAGGAUCCAAUAUUUCCGUAAAAUGUGUACUUGGGGUGAAAACCAACAUCAUAUCCAUUUUUAUAAGCAAUGACUGCAUAUUCCGUUACAUCUUCAUUUGGGUGUUGGUUUAGGUAAGCAAAGACGCCGUGUCACAUUAAUUCCUUUUCUGUGAGGAGAUGCCUAAUUAAAAAAAUAAAUAAAUUAUAAGUUUUAUUACACUUUUUUCGUUAAAAAUAAAAUCCAACAGUAUCCAUAUACUUUACUUAUUUACUUCCAUAGUUCAACUCCUUUUAGUUCCGUUUAAGUAUAGCCCCCAUUUGCCACAUACACUAAAAAUUUGAUAUACGAAGGACAUUUUUGAUUUAUGGAAUCCAUCCUUCAUCCAAUGAGUUUCGUCCCACAUUGAAUGUACUUCAACAUGUGCCGGGUUGUAAAUGCACCAGAGCACCUGAUGAAGUACAAUAGACAUGGGACAUCUGACUAGUUUGGUCACACUACAUCCAUAAAGCGCCAAGAGACUGAAUGUCGAACUCCUUUUUUUGCAUUUCACAUUUUUUCUUUUGCAACGAAACUAUUCAUGUAGGCAGCUCCAUGAUGUCAGUGACUAAAACUUCGCGCGCUACUUCAGGUACCUGACUGCACUUUUCAAUAUUCAGCCCCGGUCUCUGAUUAGCGCGCAGAGUGAUAGACAUUUUUAUUAAGGAAGUCAUUACUAUUUUUUUUUUUUUUUUUUUGGUUUCUUCUAUUUUUGGCACUAAACUUUGACACUCACAUAUAUUGUAAUCGGCCACACUUACGAACACACUCACCUGAAGAAAUCGUAGUUAUGUUAAGCUUUUUGAGUUGUGCCAUUGCAUACAUACAGCGUGUGUGUGUGCGCGCCAGUGAGAUGGAGAGAUAGAGAGAGCAAGACUUAUUAUUCUCUUGUGCGGUUUGUUGUACAUACGACCUUGUGUCCGCGCCUUGUAAAAAUGGUUAAGGUCAACGAUCUACACAUUAAAAAAAGUUCGCGGCGGCAAAAUUGCGCAGAUCAAUGCGCGUGCGGCAUUUACUGGCUUCAACGUCGUCGGCAAAACCAAAUGAGCAAAGACUCUGGGGUAUAUGUGCAUUGACGUAUGUUUUUCGCUGUUGCGGUUGAGGUUUCUGCGCUGUCCCCGACUUGUUUUUUUUUUACAAAACUCAUGAGCCUUACUCACCACCAUUCCUACAGUUCGUGUCAGUCGGCUGAUUUACAUUUGUGUGGAAAGCUUAGUUUUCGUUUCUUUCUUUUUUUCGUUUAAAAAAAGAGCUAAAGAGAGAGAGAGAAAGGGGAAUUGUGUUAAUGAGUCGAUGCAGAGUUGCCAAAAUUUGUAUUUAAUUAAACGAGUUUUAAUCUUCCUCCCGGAAAUGCCAUUCACAACCGUACAAACCUAUGUAUUUUUGUUGUUGUUGAAAUUAAUUUGUGUUUCAAGUUAAUGAACUACUUGUUUUUAAAUUAUUUUUUUACGAUAUUUUAUGGUUCAUGUGGUACUUCUAUGGAAAUUUGGUGUGUGUUGGGUUUAUUGAAAUAUCUUUUCUCAAUUGCUGUUUUUUUUUGCCUCCAUUGGCAACGAAACAUCGAGUUUUAUACAGUCGACUCCGAAUAAUUUAUGUUUGUAAAUAGAGGUUUCCCAACAAGGGUUUUUUCAGGUGCAAUUUCUUAACACAAAUAAAAUUUUUUUUGGCAUCCUGCGUCUAUUUUUAAAUAAACAAAACACUUAAAUUAUUUAUGUUAAAAAAUGCAACAUUUAAGGAAUGUAGUGGCGUAUUGCUGCAGGAAUAUAAAGGCGUAUUGCAGCCGAUGAUUUAAAACAAUAAAAAACUUGUUUUUUGUAUUUUGCAUCGUUUUUAGUCUUCGCCCGGGCCCUCCACCAUUUCGAAGGAAAUUGAAAAAAUUAAAAAAAAAAUCCGAAAACCGCUAUAUGGGGCUUUACGAAGACGUGGACCUGCAUUUUUUUUUUUUUUUUUCAUGGGCUGUAGUGCUCAUUUCGAACUUCAAAUACGAAAUUUGUUACAAUUACGGCGAAUAAUGUCGCUAAAUUCAUCAAAAUACCGACUAUCGGAAGGUACCGUAUUUUGGGGGCUAUACGAAGACGUGGACCUGCAUACGAAAUUUUUUAUCAUAGACUGUACCAUCCGUUACGAACUUCAAAUACCAAUUUUGAAACAAUUCCGGCGAAUAAUAUCGCUAAAAUCAUCAAAAUACCGAAUAUAGGGUGGUACCAUUAUAUGGGGGGCUAUACGAAGACGUGAACCUGCUCAGACAAAUUUUUGUCAUAGGCUGUAGUACUCAUUACGAACUCCAAAUACCAAAUUUUAAACAAUACCGGUAAAUAAUGUCGCUAAAAUCAUCAAAUACCAAAUAUAUAUAGCUAUACGAAUAUGUGGUAACGACCUGGCCCAUUUACGAACUUAACCUGCCUACUGGUAAAGUAUGCAUCUAUGCAAAAUUUUAGCCUUCUAUCUCAAUUCGUUUCAAAGAUAGCGUGAAUUUUACGCUGAUCCAGAAUAUCUAUACAUUGUAGGGUCUAUUAUGCAUAUUUCGAGGAGUUACAAACGGAAUGACAAAGUUAAUAUACCCUCCAUAAAAAAAUGGUGGAGGGUAUAAAAACCGUGCGUUUGACAAUAAAUAGAGUACGCAAACAAAAAGAGCUGGAGGGAAGAUUACAUGUUUGUGAGUGUGUUUUACUCAAAAUUAAAGUUCCUCAAAUAGGUCAUGAUAAUGCAAAAUAAACAUAGGCGUAUGGUGGUUAUGCGUCAUACGCUUUUCGCGUUAUUGAAUCUUUAGCCUCAUUGGGAAUCCCAACAGAGAGCAUAGAUUGCCAUUUUUGUUGACAUUUCUUUUUUUCUCAUUUGACGUUUUUCGUGAUACUCCACCCAAAAGAGAAGUAGGGGAAACAAAUGUAACAAAUCUCUGCUUUAAGUAUCAAUUGCUUCGCUGUAAAAUGUAAAACUACAAAUUAAAUUCCCGUUGCAAAAGAAAAACCAUUCGAUUUCUGCCUCUUGACUAUUUUUCCAUUUUCUUCUUCUUGAAAACUAAAAGAAAUUCCAAUAAUUUAUAUGCAUUUCAAUUAGCUGGAGUCGACUGUACACGAGCAAGAAGUUUAUGUACAAUGAUCGCGAAAUUUAGUGUUGGGCGGACAAACGAUGUUGGAACACAGUAAUUGCGAUAUUCCCACAUGUUUAUUUUUGGACGGAUCGAACGAUGCCACCAGGCAACAGUAGCAGCAGCGGCCACAGCGAAUUAUUAACAAACACAACAUGGAGUAUGGGAUUUUGGGUUUGUCUGCACUCACACUUAACGUCGAGGUGGGUAUGUGGAGAGUUUAAGGUAAAAUUGCAAAGAGUAUAAAUCGCAAAUUUGGCAACAAUUUGGAGCGUGUCUGAUGCAAAAGAACGUAAGCCCUCAAUCAAUAUUGGAUCAUUUAGUAAUAAAUUAUUAUUUUUAAUAAU